CUACGGGUGGCUGCAGUGAGGAAUAUUGCACAAUGGGGGGAACCCUGAUGCAGCAACGCCGCGUGGAGGAUGACGCAUUUCGGUGUGUAAACUCCUUUUAUAUGUCAAGAAAAUGACGGUAGCAUAUGAAUAAGCACCGGCUAACUCCGUGCCAGCAGCCGCGGCAAUACGGAGGGUGCAAGCGUUACUCGGAAUCACUGGGCGUAAAGGAGGCGUAGGCGGGCUUGUAAGUCAGGUGUGAAAUCCUACAGCUUAACUGUAGAACUGCACUUGAAACUACGAGCCUAGAGUAUGGGAGGGGCAGAUGGAAUUAGUGGUGUAGGGGUAAAAUCCGUAGAUAUCACUAGGAAUACCUAAAGCGAAGGCGAUCUGCUGGAACAUAACUGACGCUAAGGCGUGAAAGCGUGGGGAGCAAACAGGAUUAGAUACCCUCGUAGUC
rnacentral:rRNA from 1 species